ACGCGCUCCCAGUGCAGCACCAGCAUUAUUACUGCCUCCUGUUAGCCUCUCCAAGUCCACCAGUUUCCUAAUCUCCAAGAAGGAGAGCUGGGGACACCACCCUGAACUUGGGCAAUCUUCUUUGGGGGAAGCUGAUUGAACUAAAUAAACUGGACCCCAGGAGAAGGGGAAUAUUGUUGAAAGACUCUGGUGACACAGCACUGUUUUUUCCAUCCUUCAGUGGGAACUCUUAUUUAGAACUGCCUUCUGUAGCAUCUGUAUCCGAGAGCCAGAUUGCACUGUGGCAGGAACCAAACAGAAUUACAUCUAUAUACUUGACAGUGAAAACAACUGCUUUAAAUGGAACUAUCCUUUACACCAGUGAAAAGAAUUUUGGAGAACAGUUUCUUCAUCUGUAUCUUGAAGAAGGAAGACCAACAGUUCGAUUUGGGUGUGGCAACUCACAAAACAUUCUGGCUGUGUCCGUCAAUCAAUCUGUUAGCAAAGAUGUACUCUUAUCUAUCACAAUAAGAUUCAGAUGCUCGACAAGCAAUAAGACAUGAAAGGGUUGUGUGUGUUUAACAUUUGAUAAUGAUAAUCCUAUCCCAAGAGCUUCAUUGGGACAUAAACAUGAUCCAUGACUAAAUAUCUUAAAUCCACAGCCAAGCUAUUAUCUAAUGAUAACGCUUUCCUCAGGUUACCUUACUGUCAGUGAAAGAGUCAUAUUUUGGAAAGAAAAAAUCUGUAUGUGUAUGCUGGAAGAUUGUUUGACAAUUUAGUGUGUUUGGUAUCAGCUAAAUUGUGGUUCACGCAGAUUAAUCUACUCCAUUGGAAAAUGUAUGAACCAAUCUGAAUGUACUAAGAUCCAAGCAGUUUUAUAUGUAAAAAUUAGGCCAAUCAGAAAACUAGGGUAAUUAAUUUAAACAUAAUAUUAAGGGGCUAAAAAUGAAUUGCUCAUCAUAUCUGAUAAACAUUUAGAAUAAAUCAGAUGUUUUUCACCGUGUUUCUAGAACCAAAUGAACAACAGAUUUACUGAUUAGGCUAAAUCUGAGUAAUUUUGUGUUACCACAAUGUCAUCAUAAUAUAAAGCAGAAGCAGUAAACUGUGUUAUAACUAACUUUAAUUGCAAAUGCAGUGCAAGCAUAGUGUAUAAAAGUGACUCAUUCCUACUGGUAUAUGUGUGGAUUUUCAAGAGACAUACACAGAAUAUCAAGAACAUUUAUAACAAUCAAAUGAUAAUGUUAGAAUCUGUAUUAAGUUCUGUACCCAGUGAACAGAUUGACACAUCCUUUUCCAGCCAUGAUAGCUUGUAUGUGAUAGUAUGGAAAAAUGAGAAAAUAAUUAUGUGAAUGUCAUACUUAAGUCAUGCUGGUAACAGUAAAAUAAUGGGUUGAAUAGUUAAUACUAAAUUACAGUAGAAAUCUUUUAGAAGUAUUUAUCCCAUCGACAUUAAUGUAUUGCUUGUGAUGA